AUUGAACGCUGGCGGCAUGCCUUACACAUGCAAGUCGAACGGCAGCACGGGUGCCUGCACCUGGUGGCGAGUGGCGAACGGGUGAGUAAUACAUCGGAACAUGUCCUGUAGUGGGGGAUAGCCCGGCGAAAGCCGGAUUAAUACCGCACACGAUCUACGGAUGAAAGCGGGGGACCUUCGGGCCUCGCGCUAUAGGGUUGGCCGAUGGCUGAUUAGCUAGUUGGUGGGGUAAAGGCCUACCAAGGCGACGAUCAGUAGCUGGUCUGAGAGGACGACCAGCCACACUGGGACUGAGACACGGCCCAGACUCCUACGGGGGGCAGCAGUGGGGAAUUUUGGACAAUGGGCGAAAGCCUGAUCCAGCAAUGCCGCGUGUGUGAAG
rnacentral:rRNA from 1 species